rnacentral:rRNA from 1 species
UACGUAGGGUCCGAGCGUUGUCCGGAAUUAUUGGGCGUAAAGGGCUCGUAGGCGGUCUGUUGCGUCGGGAGUGAAAACUUACAGCUUAACUGUGAGCGUGCUUCCGAUACGGGCAGACUUGAGGUAUUCAGGGGAGAACGGAAUUCCUGGUGUAGCGGUGAAAUGCGCAGAUAUCAGGAGGAACACCGGUGGCGAAGGCGGUUCUCUGGGCCGUAACUGGACGCUGAGGAGCGAAAGCGUGGGGAGCAAACAGG